UACGAAGGGGGGCUAGCGUUGCUCGGAAUCACUGGGCGUAAAGGGUGCGUAGGCGGGUCUUUAAGUCAGGGGUGAAAUCCUGGAGCUCAACUCCAGAACUGCCUUUGAUACUGAAGAUCUUGAGUUCGGGAGAGGUGAGUGGAACUGCGAGUGUAGAGGUGAAAUUCGUAGAUAUUCGCAAGAACACCAGUGGCGAAGGCGGCUCACUGGCCCGAUACUGACGCUGAGGCACGAAAGCGUGGGGAGCAAAGCAGG
rnacentral:rRNA from 1 species